CUAAUGUCCAUUGGAUUUUCCCUCCAUACUUUGAAAACCUUGAAAACCGAAAAAGAGAGAAUAUCUUCUACACCCUUUCAUAGUGUUCUCUCUGCUCACUUUUGUUUUUCGUUCUAUUUCUGCAAUUCAUAGUUCUCUUUCUGCCUUUCAUCCACCCCCAUCUUCCUCCUCCUUUCUCUCACAUCAGCUUCGUUCGUUCUCUCUCCAUACCCUUUCGUUCUCUCUCCCAUAACCCAAUCAAGACCCGUCCUUCCCGCAUCCUCUUAAGCUUUCAACAUCCUUGCACUAAGAUUGAAACGCAAAGAUGCUCGAACGGGAAGAAAACAGUAGAAAAAGAUUGCCGUGUAUAAUGGUUAAAUCAAACCGGAAGACAAAAGUGAAUGGGUUUCAUCAUACGUGUUUGAUGAAAGGUUUCUGCUGAAAAUGCCUCUCAGCGCUUUCUGUGUAUUCCUAUUUGUAGGUAUAUUUAUCUUGCUUUCUUGGUGUUAUAUUGCUGCUGGGGAAUGUGUGUUCCUUAAAAGAAGAAUAAGGUAAAAAAGUUACAAAAGAGUGUGUUAUAAAGUUACAAAAAGUUACAUUUUCAUGUUAUAGUGUUUCUGCUGUUUCUAUUAUCAUGUUAUAGUGUGUUAUAAUGUGUGUUGUUUUUAUGUCAUGGCUGUGUUUCACCGGAUCUAAGAUUUGGUUGCAGCAUCGCUUCAGAUUUGAACAUAUAUUUGCGGUGGCUUUGAUGGAAAGAAUCAUGAGUUGUUUUAACUGUUUCCAAGAGGAUGAGUUCUACAAGGUUGCUGAGAGUGACUGACUGUAAAAAAUCCAGCAGGGUAUGAUGGAAAUUACCAUGCUUCCGAGUAUACAAAAUUGGGAGCUCAGACUGUUAAAGUGCAGCCCAUUGAAGUUCCGCAGAUACAGGCCGAUGAACUAAAAGAAGCUACGAAUAACUUUGGACAAGUUUCUCUAAUUGGAGAGGGAUCGUAUGGAAGAGUUUAUUAUGGAGUUCUUAAGAAUGGUCAGGCUGCAGCAAUCAAGAGGUUAGAUGCCAAUAUACAGCCUGCUGACGAAUGCUUGGCCCAGGUUUCUAUGGUUUCAAGGCUGAAACAUGAUA